UACGGAGGGUGCAAGCGUUAUCCGGAUUCACUGGGUUUAAAGGGUGUGUAGGCGGGUAUUUAAGUCAGUAGUGAAAUCUCCAGGCUCAACCUGGAAACUGCCAGUGAUACUAUUUAUCUUGAAUCUUGUUGAGGUGGGCGGUAUAUAUCAUGUAGCGGUGAAAUGCUUAGAUAUGAUAUAGAACACCGAUUGCGAAGGCAGCUCACUAAACAAGCAUUGACGCUGAGGCACGAAAGCGUGGGGAUCAAACAGG
rnacentral:rRNA from 1 species